rnacentral:lncRNA from 1 species
AGGAAAUGUGCCGUGAAUGGAUGGUGAACAGGAAGGGACACUGAAGAAGGAGGCGGUACUGAGAGCAGCCAUCUUGGAGCUUGGAAACGGAGACGCAUGUGAAGCCGUUUGCACAGUAUUUUUCCCUUAAAAUAUGGGUGGGGAACAAGGGGCUGUCAUUUGUCUUUUUCUUUGGGAUGGUGAGCAGUGAGCAGGGCACGCCGCGAGGAGCAAACUGCAGCCCAAGCACACGCGGUCAGCACGCGGAGCACAGGUGGGGAGAAGCGGCUGACGGUGGCGUGGCCCCGCGUACCUGGGUGUGGACGCCCCGCCGCCCCGCAGGGGAAAGCUCCUGGAGUCUGGGGUCUGCUGCCCCGAGCUCUGGGUGUCCAGGACAAUCAUGCUGGCUGUUAGUGAAGAAUGGCCUGGAGCACUGGGUCUCCGCCCCAGCUGCCUGGGAGAAACUGUGUUGAAGGAGCCAUACCCCCUGGCCUCCCCUCCAGACUCCAGACAACCCCAGUCAGCUGGCUGGGAGGGAGGCAGAAGAGAAACAGGGGUGCACCUGGGGCUCCUGCAGGGGUCCAGCCAGGAGAUGGGGGCAACUUGGACAGGGACGAUCCUGGGAAGGGCAGGAGGAGGAGUGAGACCUGGCCUGCCCUCUCCCUAGAGGCUCAUCAGCUCCCUGGAGACAGACACGCCCUGGUUCCUUUCCCUAUGCCUGGAGCCUGGGUACCAGCUAUUGAAAACUGCUUUUCUCCUUGUUCAUUCAAACAUAUUCACACAUAAAGGUUGUCAUUCCUUUUUGUCACUAUUUGACAAAAAUUGGAUCAUACCGUAUACAAUUCUCUGCUAUUUGUUUUGCUCACCU